UUUCGCAAUGCCCGAAAGGGUGACGAAGCGACGCCGCGUGAGUGAGGAAGGCCUUCGGGUUGUAAAGCUCUGUCAGGAGUUAAGAAAUAUAAGUGUGCUAAUACCACAUUUAUUUGACAAAAGCUCCAAAGGAAGCCACGGCUAACUCUGUGCCAGCAGCCGCGGUAAUACAGAGGUGGCAAGCGUUGUUCGGAAUUAUUGGGCGUAAAGAGCACGUAGGUGGGUUUGUAAGUCAGAUGUGAAAGCCUUCUGUUCAACGGAAGAAUUGCAUCUGAAACUGCGAGUCUUGAGUGUAGGAGGGGAGAAUGGAACUUCUGGUGGAGCGGUGAAAUGCGUAGAUAUCAGAAGGAACGCCGGCGGCGAAAGCGAUUCUCUGGCCUAUUACUGACACUCAGUGUGCGAAAGCUAGGGGAGCAAACGGGAUUAGAUACCCCGGUAGUUCUAGCUGUAAACGAUGGGCACUAAGUAGAGGGGUUUUA
rnacentral:rRNA from 1 species